rnacentral:lncRNA from 1 species
GCCUAAAACCUUUUACCAACGCGACAGCAACCAAACGACACAAAUUAAUAAAAGACAUAUAGAGCGCAACUUCCAGUCAAACAACGCCAGUAAGCAGAGAAAACAUAACACAUGUGAUCGUUAGAAAGGCACAUUUAAUAAUGAUCGUGAGGCGGUAAACAGUAAAGGGAAAUAACCCAUCAAUCAUACAUGUAUAAUCAUGACACAUGGAGUAAGGGAGAUAAUACAGAUUAAUACAUGUGACAAUCAAUACAAUACAUUGGCGCAACUUCUUUUCUCCUUUAAGUCUCUCUCUCUCUCUCUCUUUACAAUUGUCAACUAAUAAUCUCUGUUAUUAUAAG